rnacentral:rRNA from 1 species
CCAGACUCCUACGGGAGGCAGCAGUGGGGAAUAUUGCACAAUGGGGGAAACCCUGAUGCAGCGACGCCGCGUGAAGGACGAAGUAUUUCGGUACGUAAACUUCUAUCAGCAGGGAAGAAAAUGACGGUACCUGACCAAGAAGCCCCGGCUAACUACGUGCCAGCAGCCGCGGUAAUACGUAGGGGGCAAGCGUUAUCCGGAUUUACUGGGUGUAAAGGGAGCGUAGACGGCCAUGCAAGUCUGAUGUGAAAACCCGGGGCUCAACCCCGGGACUGCAUUGGAAACUGUGCAGCUAGAGUGCAGGAGAGGUAAGUGGAAUUCCUAGUGUAGCGGUGAAAUGCGUAGAUAUUAGGAGGAACACCAGUGGCGAAGGCGGCUUACUGGACUGUAACUGACGCUGAGGCUCGAAAGCGUGGGGAGCAAAUAGGAUUAGAUACCCGAGUAC